rnacentral:tRNA from 1 species
GACGGCGUGGUGUAGUGGUGUAAGCUCACCGGUUUGGCAGCCGGAGACACUGGUUCGAAUCCAGCCGCCCG